CAGGCCCAAUCCUCUUGGUUCAGCAGUGAGCUCAAAACCAGGGAGCUAAAACUGUUGACUGCACCUGCCAGCAAAGGGCAAGAGCAGGAAGCUGCAAUGAUCAUUGUGAGUUAUGGCAUCAUUCACCCCAACCUGGUGUGCUGAAACCAACAACAGUGGGAUUGAGACCCUGCACACCAAAUUCAACGAGAGGUCCCCACAACGCCAGAAAUGCUGGUUUCGUCUCAAUUUUUAUUUUCAUCUUUCUCCAUUACAUUAUCUGAAGAGCAACAAGAACAGAUGGAUGCUUCCUUAACACCUGCUGCUGUGGGAGUCUUCUGAAACACUUGCAAUUUGAGGCUCACAUCAAAGUCAUGUCCCUGUAUUGACAUGAGAAGUCAAUACUUACAACAUUGGGGAGAAGAUGAAACCAUGAAUGAAUGUGCACUGUUGGCUGCUCAGCUAAUGCUGUUUAUAUGAAGAAGUGGCUUGCACAGAGGUGAGAGACUGGGAAGCAGCUGUUUUCUGAAAUAUAGCUUUUGGCUUAAA